GCGUGCCUAAUACAUGCAAGUCGAGCGAACGGAUAAGGAGCUUGCUCCUUUGAAGUUAGCGGCGGACGGGUGAGUAACACGUGGGUAACCUACCUAUAAGACUGGAAUAACUUCGGGAAACCGGAGCUAAUGCCGGAUAACAUAUAGAACCGCAUGGUUCUAUAGUGAAAGAUGGUUUUGCUAUCACUUAUAGAUGGACCCGCGCCGUAUUAGCUAGUUGGUAAGGUAAUGGCUUACCAAGGCGACGAUACGUAGCCGACCUGAGAGGGUGAUCGGCCACACUGGAACUGAGACACGGUCCAGACUCCUACGGGAGGCAGCAGUAGGGAAUCUUCCGCAAUGGGCGAAAGCCUGACGGAGCAACGCCGCGUGAGUGAUGAAGGUUUUCGGAUCGUAAAACUCUGUUAUUAGGGAAGAACAAAUGCGUAAGUAACUGUGCGCAUCUUGACGGUACCUAAUCAGAAAGCCACGGCUAACUACGUGCCAGCAGCCGCGGUAAUACGUAGGUGGCAAGCGUUAUCCGGAAUUAUUGGGCGUAAAGCGCGCGUAGGCGGUUUCUUAAGUCUGAUGUGAAAGCCCACGGCUCAACCGUGGAGGGUCAUUGGAAACUGGGAAACUUGAGUGCAGAAGAGGAAAGUGGAAUUCCAUGUGUAGCGGUGAAAUGCGCAGAGAUAUGGAGGAACACCAGUGGCGAAGGCGACUUUCUGGUCUGUAACUGACGCUGAUGUGCGAAAGCGUGGGGAUCAAACAGGAUUAGAUACCCUGGUAGUCCACGCCGUAAACGAUGAGUGCUAAGUGUUAGGGGGUUUCCGCCCCUUAGUGCUGCAGCUAACGCAUUAAGCACUCCGCCUGGGGAGUACGACCCGCAAGGUUGAAACUCAAAGGAAUUGACGGGGACCCGCACAAGCGGUGGAGCAUGUGGUUUAAUUCGAAGC
rnacentral:rRNA from 1 species